UACGUAGGGGGCUAGCGUUGUCCGGAUUUAUUGGGCGUAAAGAGCGUGUAGGCGGUCGUGACAAGUCACUUGUGAAAUCUCCGGGCUUAACUCGGAACGGUCAAGUGAUACUGUCGGACUAGAGUACAGAAGGGGCAACUGGAAUUCUCGGUGUAGCGGUGAAAUGCGUAGAUAUCGAGAGGAACACCUGCGGCGAAGGCGGGUUGCUGGGCUGAUACUGACGCUGGAGGCGCGAAAAGCUAGGGGAGCGAACGGGG
rnacentral:rRNA from 1 species